rnacentral:rRNA from 1 species
AUUGAACGCUGGCGGCAGGCCUAACACCUGCAAGUCGAACGAGUGGCGGACGGGUGAGUAAUGUCUGGGAAAAUGCCUGAUGGAGGGGGAUAACUACUGGAAACGGUAGCUAAUACCGCAUACAAUCCGAUGUGCCCAGAUGGGAUUAGCUUGUUGGUGGGGUAACGACUCACCAAGGCGACGAUCCCGAGCUGGGCUGAGAGGAUGACCAGCCACACUGGAACGGAGACACGGUCCAGACUCCUACGGGAGGCAGCAGUGGGGAAUAUGGCACAAUGGGCGCAAGCCUGAUGCAGCAAUGCCGCGGUUAUGAAGAAGGCCUUCGGGUUGUAAAGUACUUGCAGCGGGGAGGCGUUACCCGCAGAAGAAGCACCGGCUAACUCCGUGCCAGCAGCCGCGGUAAUUC